AGCGAACGCUGGCGGCAGGCCUAACACAUGCAAGUCGAACGGAUCCUUCGGGAUUAGUGGCGGACGGGUGAGUAACACGUGGGAACGUGCCCUUUGGUUCGGAACAACUCAGGGAAACUUGAGCUAAUACCGGAUGUGCCCUUCGGGGGAAAGAUUUAUCGCCAUUGGAGCGGCCCGCGUCGGAUUAGCUAGUUGGUGGGGUAAAGGCCCACCAAGGCGACGAUCCGUAGCUGGUCUGAGAGGAUGAUCAGCCACAUUGGGACUGAGACACGGCCCAAACUCCUACGGGAGACAGCAGUGGGGAAUCUUGCGCAAUGGGCGAGAGCCUGACGCAGCCAUGCCGCGUGAAUGAUGAAGGUCUUAGGAUUGUAAAAUUCUUUCACCGGGGACGAUAAUGACGGUACCCGGAGAAGAAGCCCCGGCUAACUUCGUGCCAGCCGCCGCGGUAAAAC
rnacentral:rRNA from 1 species